rnacentral:rRNA from 1 species
ACGGGAGGCAGCAGUCGGGAAUAUUGCACAAUGGAGGAAACUCUGAUGCAGUGACGCCGCGUAUAGGAAGAAGGUUUUCGGAUUGUAAACUAUUUUAGACAGGGAAGAUAAAAGACGGUACCUGUAGAAUAAGCCCCGGCUAACUAUGUGCCAGCAGCCGCGGUAAUACAUAGGGGGCAAGCGUUAUCCGGAAUUAUUGGGCGUAAAGGGUGCGUAGACGGGAAUUUAAGUUAGUUGUGAAAUCCCUCGGCUCAACUGAGGAACCGCAACUAAAACUGGAUUUCUUGAGUGCAGGAGAGGAAAGCGGAAUUCCUAGUGUAGCGGUGAAAUGCGUAGAUAUUAGGAGGAACACCAGUGGCGAAGGCGGCUUUCUGGACUGUAACUGACGUUGAGGCACGAAAGUGUGGGGAGCAAACAGGAUUAGAUACCCUGGUA